rnacentral:rRNA from 1 species
UUGAACGCUGGCGGCAGGCCUCACCCAUGCAAGUCGAGCGGAUGAAGGGAGCUUGCUCCUGGAUUCAGCGGCGGACGGGUGGGUAAUGCCUAGGAAUCUGCCUGGUAGUGGGGGAUAACGUCCGGAAACGGGCGCUAAUACCGCAUACGUCCUGAGGGAGAAAGUGGGGGAUCUUCGGACCUCACGCUAUCAGAUGAGCCUAGGUCGGAUUAGCUAGUUGGUGGGGUAAAGGCCUACCAAGGCGACGAUCCGUAACUGGUCUGAGAGGAUGAUCAGUCACACUGGAACUGAGACACGGUCCAGACUCCUACGGGAGGCAGCAGUGGGGAAUAUUGGACAAUGGGCGAAAGCCUGAUCCAGCCAUGCCGCGUGUGUGAAGAAGGUCUUCGGAUUGUAAAGCACUUUAAGUUGGGAGGAAGGGCAGUAAGUUAAUACCUUGCUGUUUUGACGUUACCAACAGAAUAAGCACCGGCUAACUUCGUG